rnacentral:rRNA from 1 species
AGAGUUUGAUCCUGGCUCAGAGUGAACGCUGGCGGCAGGCCUAACACAUGCAAGUCGAGCGGCAGCGCGGUGUAGCAAUACACUGGCGGCGAGCGGCGGACGGGUGAGGAAUGCGUCGGAAUCUGCCUUUUUGUGGGGGAUAACGUAGGGAAACUUACGCUAAUACCGCAUACGACCUACGGGUGAAAGUGGGGGACCUUCGGGCCUCACGCAGAAAGAUGAGCCGACGCCGGAUUAGCUAGUUGGCGGGGUAAAGGCCCACCAAGGCGACGAUCCGUAGCUGGUCUGAGAGGAUGAUCAGCCACACUGGAACUGAGACACGGUCCAGACUCCUACGGGAGGCAGCAGUGGGGAAUAUUGGACAAUGGGCGCAAGCCUGAUCCAGCCAUGCCGCGUGUGUGAAGAAGGCCUUCGGGUUGUAAAGCACUUUUGUCCGGAAAGAAAUCCAAUCGAUUAAUACUCGGUUGGGAUGACGGUACCGGAAGAAUAAGCACCGGCUAACUUCGUGCCAGCAGCCGCGGUAAUACGAAGGGUGCAAGCGUUACUCGGAAUUACUGGGCGUAAAGCGUGCGUAGGUGGUUCGUUAAGUCUGAUGUGAAAGCCCUGGGCUCAACCUGGGAAUGGCAUUGGAUACUGGCGACCUAGAGUGCGGUAGAGGGGUGUGGAAUUCCCGGUGUAGCAGUGAAAUGCGUAGAUAUCGGGAGGAACAUCUGUGGCGAAGGCGACACCCUGGACCAGCACUGACACUGAGGCACGAAAGCGUGGGGAGCAAACAGGAUUAGAUACCCUGGUAGUCCACGCCCUAAACGAUGCGAACUGGAAGUUGGGGGCAACUUGGCCCUCAGUUUCGAAGCUAACGCGUUAAGUUCGCCGCCUGGGAAGUACGGUCGCAAGACUGAAACUCAAUGAAUUGACGGGG